rnacentral:lncRNA from 1 species
CAAGCAAGGAAGCAGGUCCUCUCUGGGAGAAUCUUCUGGCUCUAUGAUAUCAGACCUCCAGCUUCCAGGAUUAUGAGAAUUACAUUUCUGUUGUUUAUAAGCCACUCGGUCUAUGGCAGUUUGUUAGGGCAGCAGGACCUGACCAACCCACCUUGUCAUUCUCCUGAGCCCCGACUCUGGACCUGCUGAACCCCUCUAAGUUAUCUGAAUGCUGUGCACCUGCUCUGCUCUGAGCUUUGACAAAACUAUUCCUUCUUUAUCUUCUUGGUCUGAUGAAUAUCUCCUCCUUAUCCGAAGCUCUUUUCUGAUGCCACCUCCUCUGGAAGCCUAUCUAAUCUCUUGCCUCAGCUAAUGACCCUUUUUGCUACUUGUCCAGCAACCUGUGCCUGUCUUUAUAGUCAUAGCUCUUCUGCCAUGUUGUCAUCGCUGGGUUCAAGGGACAGUGCCUCCAUUAGCUUGUGAGCUCUUAAAGGCAAAAGCUUCUCUCCCUCUUGUAUCCUUAGGAAUAUAAUGUGGAUAAUAAAAUUGUUCCUCAGUUGAAGAAGAGCAAUUCUACAAAUCCAAAGCAGAUUUUUUUUUUUUUGCCUCAUUAAGGCAUUAAGGUAUUUGACAGGCCUAGAGACAGCAUAUAGCGUUGAGUAUUUUAGUAUGAAAGGAAUAAAAAGAAAAACAAAAACAAAAACAAAAAACACUUGGGUAUGUUAAAAAGGGUAGGAUCCUCUUCAGGAUUUAGGAAGGGUCUGCUUUGAC